rnacentral:rRNA from 1 species
AUUGAACGCUGGCGGCAGGCCUAACACAUGCAAGUCGAGCGGAUGAAGGGAGCUUGCUCCUGGAUUCAGCGGCGGACGGGUGAGUAAUGCCUAGGAAUCUGCCUGGUAGUGGGGGAUAACGUCCGGAAACGGGCGCUAAUACCGCAUACGUCCUGAGGGAGAAAGUGGGGGAUCUUCGGACCUCACGCUAUCAGAUGAGCCUAGGUCGGAUUAGCUAGUUGGUGGGGUAAAGGCCUACCAAGGCGACGAUCCGUAACUGGUCUGAGAGGAUGAUCAGUCACACUGGAACUGAGACACGGUCCAGACUCCUACGGGAGGAAGCAGGGGGGAAGAUUGGACAAUGGGCGAAAGCCUGAGCCAGCCAUGCCGCGUGUGUGAAGAAGGUCUUCGGAUUGUAAAGCACUUUAAGUUGGGAGGAAGGGCAGUAAGUUAAUACCUUGCUGUUUUGACGUUACCAACAGAAUAAGCACCGGCUAACUUCGUG